GACGAACGCUGGCGGCGUGCUUAACACAUGCAAGUCGAACGGAAAGGCCCUGCUUUUGUGGGGUGCUCGAGUGGCGAACGGGUGAGUAACACGUGAGUAACCUGCCCUUGACUUUGGGAUAACUUCAGGAAACUGGGGCUAAUACCGGAUAGGAGCUCCUGCUGCAUGGUGGGGGUUGGAAAGUUUCGGCGGUUGGGGAUGGACUCGCGGCUUAUCAGCUUGUUGGUGGGGUAGUGGCUUACCAAGGCUUUGACGGGUAGCCGGCCUGAGAGGGUGACCGGCCACAUUGGGACUGAGAUACGGCCCAGACUCCUACGGGAGGCAGCCGUGGGGACUAUUGCACAAUGGGCGGAAGCCUGAUGCAGCAACGCCGCGUGCGGGAUGACGGCCUUCGGGUUGUAAACCGCUUUCGCCUGUGACGAAGCGUGAGUGGCGGUAAUGGGUAAAGAAGCACCGGCUAACUACGCG
rnacentral:rRNA from 1 species